AUUGAACGCUGGCGGCAGGCCUAACACAUGCAAGUCGAACGGUAACAGGAAGCAGCUUGCUGCUUUGCUGACGAGUGGCGGACGGGUGAGUAGUGUCUGGGAAACUGCCCGAUGGAGGGGGAUAACUACUGGAAACGGUAGCUAAUACCGCAUAACGUCGCAAGACCAAAGAGGGGGACCUUAGGGCCUCUUGCCAUCGGAUGUGCCCAGAUGGGAUUAGCUAGUAGGUGGGGUAACGGCUCACCUAGGCGACGAUCCCUAGCUGGUCUGAGAGGAUGACCAGCCACACUGGAACUGAGACACGGUCCAGACUCCUACGGGAGGCAGCAGUGGGGAAUAUUGCACAAUGGGCGCAAGCCUGAUGCAGCCAUGCCGCGUGUAUGAAGAAGGCCUUCGGGUUGUAAAGUACUUUCAGCGGGGAGGAAGGGAGUAAAGUUAAUACCUUUGCUCAUUGACGUUACCCGCAGAAGAAGCACCGGCUAACUCCGUG
rnacentral:rRNA from 1 species